rnacentral:tRNA from 2 species
CUCCUGGUGGCCAAGUUGGCUAAGGCGCGAGACUGUAAAUCUUGAGAUCGGGUGUUCGAAUCACCCCCAGGAGA